rnacentral:misc_RNA from 1 species
AAAAAAAAAAAAAAAAACCAUUUUGGCUAACAGUAUAUAGAUGAUCUCAAAUUUUUUUGUUCAGUUAGCUGCACAAAACAAUGGGCAGCAAUCCUUUUUACUUGACAGUGAACUUGAUUGUCACAGCUUGAAGAUGAAAAAUAUCAUUUCUUGUUUCUAUGACACAGUGUUGGAUUGUCUUCAUUUUGAUUAAAGGAAUGAAAAUUCUCAAUGUGUGGAAAUGCAUAUCUCGUUCUCAUGUGUGACAAUGGCUUCUGAAAAUCUUUUCUCCCUCUUUCAUUUGUUAAUAAUCUGCAUACAACAUCUUCUUGAGAAUAUAAUUGAAGAUAAUUUCCACAAUGUUGUGCAACAUGAUUUGCUCAAAACCUAUGCAAUGCAUCUCUUUCCUCUCAUGUAGAUCCAAGCUGCAUUCCGCACAG